rnacentral:tRNA from 1 species
CAGGGAGACAACAAAAUGUUUAAUUUUAUUAUUUUGUCACCUUAGGUCGAUCGGUAUCUCACGUUCUUAAUUUGUUAAGAAUUUCAUUUCCUAAGUUUUUCUAGGUCACACCCAUUAUUUUUCCUGGGCCAUUAGCUCAGGUGGUUAGAGCGCACCCCUGAUAAGGGUGAGGUCCCUGGUUCAAGUCCAGGAUGGCCCAUAUCUCUAUGUUGGGGGUAUAGCUCAGUUGGUAGAGCGCCUGCUUUGCAAGCAGGAUGUCAGCGGUUCGAGUCCGCUUACCUCCACUGAUUACCACCUCUUACAUAACUGGUAAAAAGGAAAUGUUUUGAGUUGUGAUCAUUAUUCUGAACGAAUCUAGCUUCCUAAUGAAAUCAUUAAGAUGCUGGACUCAUUGAAUUAAUUUCAUUGUUUUCAGAGAACCUUGACAACUGCAUAGAUUAUUUUUAAAGACAAUAAGCAUCUUUAAUGAUGCAGAUUUAUUAUUUGUGCGAAUGCAUUAAUAACAAUUCUAUUAAGCUGAUGCUUCAAUUUUUUGAAGUUAUU